AGAGUUUGAUCCUGGCUCAGAAUGAACGUUGGCGGCGUGGAUUAGGCAUGCAAGUCGUACGGGCCGCAAGGCCAGUGGCGCAAGGGUGAGUAAGGCGACGGCAACCAACCCCGUGAUUGGGUAUAGCCGCGGGAAACUGCGGGUAAUCCCCAGCGACGUCUCGAGGAGGCAUCUCCUUGAGACCAAAGCUCCGGCGUCGU
rnacentral:rRNA from 1 species